CCCUUAGAUGUUCUGGGCCGCACGCGUGCUACACUGAGUGGAUCAGCGGGUCAGGUUGCGCGAAAGUGUUUCCUAAUCUUGAAAUCCGCUCGUGAUGGGGAUUGACGGUUGCAAUUUUCCGUCAUGAACGGGGAAUACCUUGUAAGCGCGGGUCAUCAUCCCGCGCUGAAUACGUCCCUGCCCUUUGUACACACCGCCCGUCGCUCCUACUGAUUGGAUGGUCCGGUGAACUGGUCGGACUGAUAAUUGUCACUGCGGGUGCAGUAGCAUUACGGAAAGUCCGGUGAACCUUAUCAUCUAGAGGAAGGAGAAGUCGUAACA
rnacentral:rRNA from 1 species